rnacentral:RNase_P_RNA from 1 species
CCAGGUAACGCCUGGGGGGCGCGAGCCCACGGCCAGUGCAGCAGAGAGUAGACCGCCUAAGUCCGCGCAAGCGGAACGGUAAGGGUGAAAGGGUGCGGUAAGAGCGCACCGCGCUACUGGUAACAGUUAGCGGCAAGGUAAACCCCACCCGGAGCAAGGCCAAAUAGGAAUCCGCAGGCGCUGCCCGCGCCGGAUUCGGGUAGGCCGCAUGAGGGUUGUGGCGACACAAUUCCCAGAUGAAUGAUUGUCCACGACAGAACCCGGCUUAACGGUCGGCUCUCAUU